rnacentral:rRNA from 1 species
CCUGCCGGAGGUACUGCUAUCGGUGUUUGACUAAGUCAUGCGAGUCAAAUGUUCUUCGUGAACAUGGCGCAAUGCUCAGUAACACGUGGAUAACCUGCCCUCAGGUCCGGCAUAAUCUCGGGAAACUGAGGAUAAUUUCCGGAUAUCCCUUUUCUGUUGGAAGACUUAAAGGGACAAAGAAUUUCGCCUGAGGAUGGGUCUGCGGCCUAUCAGGUUGUAGGGGGUGUAAGGUACCUCCUAGCCGACGACGGGUACGGGUUGUGAGAGCAAGAGCCCGGAGAUGGAUUCUGAGACAUGAAUCCAGGCCCUACGGGGCGCAGCAGGCGCGAAAACUUUACAAUGCAGGAAACUGUGAUAAGGAGACACCGAGUGCUCGCAUCAAAUGCGGGCUGUCCGCUUACUUAAAUCGUAAGCGUUAGCAAGGGCCGGGCAAGACCGGUGCCAGCCGCCGCGGUAAUACCGGUGGCCCGAGUGGUAGCCGCUUUUAUUGGGUCUAAAGGGUCCGUAGCCGGUUCGGUCAGUCCAUUGGGAAAUCCGGAUGCUCAACAUCCGGGCUUCCAGUGGAUACUGCCGAACUUGGGAUCGGGGGAGGUAAGAGGUACUAUAGGGGUAGGAGUGAAAUCUUGUAAUCCCUGUGGGACCACCUGUGGCGAAGGCGUCUUACCAAAACGAGUCCGACGGUGAGGGACGAAAGCUGGGGGCACGAACCGGAUUAGAUACCCGGGUAGUCCCAGCCGUAAACGAUGCUCGCUAGGUGUCAGGCAUGGCGUGACUGUGUUUGGUGCCGAAGGGAAGCCGUGAAGCGAGCCACCUGGGAAGUACGGCCGCAAGGCUGAAACUUAAAGGAAUUGGCGGGGGAGCAC